GCAGUCGUGGCCGAGUGGUUAAGGCGGUGGACUAGAAAUCCAUUGGGGUCUCCCCGCACAGGUUCAAAUCCUGUCGAUUGCG
rfam:Ixodes scapularis strain Wikel colony gcontig_1108378524806, whole genome shotgun sequence.